GCUAGCGGCCAUAUCACCCCGCAACUCACAGCUGGCAGCCCACUGCAGCCCAGCAGGCGUGAGCCUGGUCAGUACCUGGAUGGGAGACUCCUGGGAAAGACCAAGGCUGCUGCUGGAA
rnacentral:rRNA from 1 species